rnacentral:rRNA from 1 species
AUUGAACGCUGGCGGCAUGCCUUACACAUGCAAGUCGAACGGCAGCGGGGACUUCGGUCCGCCGGCGAGUGGCGAACGGGUGAGUAAUGUAUCGGAACGUACCAUUCAGUGGGGGAUAACUAUCCGAAAGGAUAGCUAAUACCGCAUAUUCUGUGAGCAGGAAAGCAGGGGAUCGCAAGACCUUGCGCUGAUUGAGCGGCCGAUAUCAGAUUAGCUAGUUGGUGAGGUAACGGCUCACCAAGGCUACGAUCUGUAGCGGGUCUGAGAGGAUGAUCCGCCACACUGGGACUGAGACACGGCCCAGACUCCUACGGGAGGCAGCAGUGGGGAAUUUUGGACAAUGGGCGCAAGCCUGAUCCAGCCAUGCCGCGUGAGUGAAGAAGGCCUUCGGGUUGUAAAGCUCUUUCGGCCGGGAAGAAAUCGCAUCAGCUAAUACCUGGUGUGGAUGACGGUACCGGAAUAAGAAGCACCGGCUAACUACGUGCCAGCCGCCGCCGUAAUAC